CAAACGGCUCUUUUUAGAGCCAUGAAAUUUUUUCGAAAAGAUGUCU
rfam:Crassostrea gigas strain 05x7-T-G4-1.051#20 contig17928, whole genome shotgun sequence.